rnacentral:rRNA from 1 species
AUACGGAGGGUGCAAGCGUUAUUCGGAAUCACUGGGCGUAAAGGACGCGUAGGCGGGUUGGCAAGUCAGAUGUGAAAUCCUACAGCUUAACUGUAGAACUGCAUUUGAAACUGCUAACCUAGAGUAUGGGAGGGGGAGAUGGAAUUAGUGGUGUAGAGGUAAAAUCCGUAGAUAUCACUAGGAAUACCGAAAGCGAAGGCGAUCUCCUGGAACAUAACUGACGCUAAGGCGUGAAAGCGUGGGGAGCAAACAGGAUUAGAUACCCUUGUAGUCC